UUAAAUUUUUCAUAUUUAAAUCCAUAAAUAUAUUUUAUUGUAACUCAUUUAUACUUAAAAAUAAACUACACCUUGAUUUGAUAUUAAUUUUAAUUAAAAUUAUAGAAAAUUAUUUUUCUUAUAAAAUAUUCUAAUAACAACGAUAUAUAAAUUGAUUAACAAUUCUAAGUAAGGUACAACGGGGAUUAUCGAUUAAAAAACAAGUUCCUCUGAAUAGACUAAAAUACCGCCAAAUUUUUUAAGUUUCAAGAUCAUAUCUAAUACUACUCAAAUAAAUUUAAAUUAUAUUUUAAAUAAUAGGGUAUCUAAUCC
rnacentral:rRNA from 1 species